rnacentral:rRNA from 1 species
UACGUAGGGUGCGAGCGUUAAUCGGAAUUACUGGGCGUAAAGCGUGUGCAGGCGGUUUGUUAAGACAGGUGUGAAAUCCCCGGGCUUAGCCUGGGAAUUGCGCUUGUUACUGGCAAGCUAGAGUGCGUCAGAGGGAGGUGGAAUUCCACGUGUAGCAGUGAAAUGCGUAGAGAUGUGGAGGAACACCGAUGGCGAAGGCAGCCUCCUGGGAUGACACUGACGCUCAUACACGAAAGCGUGGGGAGCAAACAGG